CAAUAGGGUAGGGGCUUGCCUCAGGAAACUUGGGGUGCCUCCCUUGC
rfam:Hepacivirus hominis isolate HK6a, complete genome